GAUGCUUUCUCCACUUGAAGGGCUUUAGAACCUUCUGUCUUUAUUUCACUCCCAGGUUUAACCUGCUAAGGCAGCAUGUUGCUGCUUCCACUCUUCCUUGCAGCUUCAUUUUGCUCCCGUGGAGACACAUGGACAGUGCCAGUGCAAACCCCAAAGCUCCAAACGCAGAUGCAGGGCACAUCCACCAGCAUUUUGUGCCAAUUGCAAGCUGAAGUCAUCAUCCAUUGGUACAAGCAUCUUCCUGGACAGCCACCAACGAGGAUACUGUAUGCGCGGGGACAGUCAGCUACUUUUGAUGACGGGGGCGACAAGGGAAGAUUUCAAGUUCAGACACAUCCUAAGUAUCAUUAUACUCUCAUGAUAAAUGAUCUGACUCCAAGGGAUUCUGGUACUUACUACUGUGCGUAUUGAUAUUACAUCGCAUCACAGCACUAGCUGGGCAAAGAUAAGCUGUACAAAAAGGUGCUUUG